rnacentral:rRNA from 1 species
UACGUAGGGGGCAAGCGUUGUCCGGAUUUAUUGGGCGUAAAGAGCGUGUAGGCGGCCGUACAAGUCAGCUGUGAAAACUCGAGGCUCAACCUCGAGACGUCGGUUGAAAACCGUACGGCUAGAGUCCGGAAGAGGAGAGUGGAAUUCCCGGUGUAGCGGUGAAAUGCGCAGAUAUCGGGAGGAACACCGGUGGCGAAGGCGGGUUGCUGGGCUGACACUGACGCUGAACUGCGAAAGCUAGGGGAGCGAACGGG